rnacentral:rRNA from 1 species
GAUUAGAUACCCUACUAUGCCCAGCCGUAAACACAGUUUUUCUUUAUUCCGCCAGAGAACAACGAGCAAAGCUUAAAACCCAAAGGACUUGGCGGCACUCCAUACCACCCUAGAGGGGCCUGUCACCUAAUCGAUAACCCACGAUAAACCUCACCACUUUAAGCCCAUACCAGCCUAUAUACCGCCGUCGCCAGCCCAUCUUGAAAAAGGACCAGAAUAGGCUCAAAAGUUCAACCGCACUAACACGACAGGUCAAGGUGUAGCUCAUAAAGAGGAAAAUGAUGGACCACAUUGCUACCCCCAGCAACACCAAAAUUGUAUUGAAACACACACUUUAAGGUGAAUUUAACAGUAAGAUAAAUAAGAAAGCUUUUCAUAAGUCUGCUCUGGAGCGUGCACACACCGCCCGUCACCCU